UACGUAGGGGGCAAGCGUUGUCCGGAUUUAUUGGGCGUAAAGAGCGUGUAGGCGGCCAGGUAGGUCCGUUGUGAAAACUCGAGGCUCAACCUCGAGACGCCGAUGGAAACCAUCUGGCUAGAGUCCGGAAGGGGCGAGUGGAAUUCCUGGUGUAGCGGUGAAAUGCGCAGAUAUCAGGAGGAACACCUAUGGCGAAGGCAGCUCGCUGGGACGGUACUGACGCUGAGGCGCGAAAGCGUGGGGAGCGAACAGG
rnacentral:rRNA from 1 species